rnacentral:rRNA from 1 species
CCUACGGGGAGCUGCAGUGGGGAAUAUUGGACAAUGGGCGAAAGCCUGAUCCAGCCAUGCCGCGUGUGUGAAGAAGGCCUUCGGGUUGUAAAGCACUUUCAGUGGGGAAGAAAGCCUUGGGGCUAAUACCCUCGAGGAAGGACAUCACCCACAGAAGAAGCACCGGCUAACUCCGUGCCAGCAGCCGCGGUAAUACGGAGGGUGCGAGCGUUAAUCGGAAUUACUGGGCGUAAAGCGCGCGUAGGCGGUCUGAUAAGCCGGUUGUGAAAGCCCCGGGCUCAACCUGGGAACGGCAUCCGGAACGGUCAGGCUAGAGUGCAGGAGAGGAAGGUAGAAUUCCCGGUGUAGCGGUGAAAUGCGUAGAGAUCGGGAGGAAUACCAGUGGCGAAGGCGGCCUUCUGGACUGACACUGACGCUGAGGUGCGAAAGCGUGGGUAGCAAACAGGAUUAGAUACCCCUGUAGUC